UACAGAGGGUGCGAGCGUUAAUCGGAAUUACUGGGCGUAAAGCGUGCGUAGACGGUUAUUUAAGUCGGGUGUGAAAGCCCCGGGCUCAACCUGGGAAUUGCAUUCGAGACUGAAUAGCUAGGGUACGGUAGAGGGAAGUGGAAUUCCCGGUGUAGCGGUGAAAUGUGUAGAGAUCGGGAGGAACACCGGUGGCGAAGGCGGGUCUCUGGGCAUCUCCUGACGCUGAGGCGCGAAAGCGUGGGGAGCAACGGG
rnacentral:rRNA from 1 species